UAUUAAAAAUUUCAUCCAUUCUUACUGUUUAAACUUAGUGUUGCUGACAAAAUAAUCAAACAGUUAUACGUGGCUCUCUCACGUAUGCCUCAUUCUGAUAUACAAAGACUAAACUUUAGAAAUAGAAAUGGAUGAAAUUUUUAACA
rfam:Gossypium raimondii Chr13_contig_41, whole genome shotgun sequence.